CAGCUUCCGGCGAGCUCCGACGCCGCGCAGCACGCCCCCCAACUCCCCAGAGUCCGCUCCUCCCUACCCUCCGGCCAGAUUCUCCGCUCCCGGCCUCUACCGCCCGCUCGAAACGCCACCCCCAUGGCUAGGGUUUCGGGCAGGGCUUCGCCGGCGCGUCUCCGGCGGCCCAGAUGCAGAUGGAGCACGCCAUGGGAAUUCCCCAUCCACCAUGGUCGCCGCCAUCAAGGGCUUCUUCACGGAGAUGUGGAGGACGCCAUGGACCUGCAGCUCCAAGGUUCUAUCUUAGGGCGAGAAGAUCUUCUUAUCUACAAUGGCGAUGCAUGAACCGACGACGAACUGAAGCUGCGACCCAUGGGCUGGCCCUGCCUGCGUGCGUCCGCCAGAACCAGAAACAGACCAGAAAAGGGAAGCAACUAAGGCAUCCGGCUGCCUGAAACUUGCUCAGGGGGCGGCCUAUGGGCACGGCGUACAAGCUCUCUACUCUCUGUCAUCUUAUAUCUCUGAAUUUUCUUUUGCUGCAUGUGCAGGUGUAUGACAGGAACAAUAACUAGCAUGAACCUGGAGGAGUAAGAAGCAGCGACAUCUGGGUUUGCAAUGGCCAAAGAACUCAACAAUUCAUAGUUGGGUCACUUAUUUCUCCCCAGCUCGGUGACUUGGUCAACUGCGCACUUCAGAAGAAUAAGUACUUCUGAAUGUUAAAGCCAAUGUGGGCUAGCAAACUGUAGAGAUAAUUGAUUUGUUUCCAUGUCUACCUUACAGUAUUCAGACUUGGGAGAGAAGGUGCCUCAUGGUAGAAGCUUGACAUAGGUGUGGCCUUGAAUGCCAAGAUUUUUAUGAGUAGCCUCAGCCUUCUGUUCUCCCUACAGAUUCAGGAUUCAAAAGAUCAAUGGGAGUUUGUUUCACACAGUACAAGAGCAAUGUACUGAUGCAUUUUAACUGUCGUUGUGUGUUUUAACAGAAGAAUACUUUCUGAUGUUUUAGUGACCAAGUGUUACUGAUCUUGAGGUGUGUUAUUGAUCUCUGUUUCUAUAUAGAUGGUGCUUUUUUGUACUUUCUGAAGAACAAUUCCAUGCAAGACACCAUCAAAAAGCCUGCUACUGCAGAUGCUUCCUCGCGGAAUCACAGCUUGAUGGAGCUUGCUGCACCUCUGGAACAAGCAGCCGCUUACAAAGAGAAGCUUGAAGGCUCAAACAGAUGUACAUAACGAAAUUCAGAGUUCCAACAGUGCAUAUGUGCAAGAGCGUAGUUCACUUGGAAUUUGCUCGUGGUGGAGACGUUCCACCCACAAAAAAAAGGUGAAGACGUCCUGAAACUUCAUGAGGCAUGGGUGAUACAGAUAGGGCGGAGUCGGAACCAUGUGCAAGAUAGAGACACUAUCAAUCAUCGGUGAAUCCGGUCCAGGAACUCAAAUGUUGGCGUCCAUGGCGCAAGGAGGUGCUUUUCGGAGCAAGCAACCUAGCAAGUGCAUCAGUGAUCAUUGUCAAUUUGGCUAGAAGUAUGUACAUUUCCCUACUACAAUUCCUUCAAACAUGCUGACACAUAUAUGCUUACGGACAUGUGAUUUUUUCUCCG